UGGGGAAUUUUGGACAAUGGGCGAAAGCCUGAUCCAGCAAUGCCGCGUGUGUGAAGAAGGCCUUCGGGUUGUAAAGCACUUUUGUCCGGAAAGAAAUCCUUGGCUCUAAUACAGUCGGGGGAUGACGGUACCGGAAGAAUAAGCACCGGCUAACUACGUGCCAGCAGCCGCGGUAAUACGUAGGGUGCAAGCGUUAAUCGGAAUUACUGGGCGUAAAGCGUGCGCAGGCGGUUUGCUAAGACCGAUGUGAAAUCCCCGGGCUCAACCUGGGAACUGCAUUGGUGACUGGCAGGCUAGAGUAUGGCAGAGGGGGGUAGAAUUCCACGUGUAGCAGUGAAAUGCGUAGAGAUGUGGAGGAAUACCGAUGGCGAAGGCAGCCCCCUGGGCCAAUACUGACGCUCAUGCACGAAAGCGUGGGGAGCAAACAGGAUUAGAUACCCUGGUAGUCCACGCCCUAAACGAUGUCAACUAGUUGUUGGGGAUUCAUUUCCUUAGCAACGUAGCUAACGCGUGAAGUUGACCGCCUGGGGGAGUACGGUCGCAAGAUUAAAACUCAAAUGAAUUGACGGGGUCAUAGCUGUUUCCU
rnacentral:rRNA from 1 species